rnacentral:rRNA from 17 species
CAGCAGCCGCGGUAAUACGGAGGGUCCGAGCGUUAAUCGGAAUUACUGGGCGUAAAGCGUACGUAGGCGGAUUGGAAAGUUGGGGGUGAAAUCCCAGGGCUCAACCCUGGAACUGCCUCCAAAACUAUCAGUCUAGAGUUCGAGAGAGGUGAGUGGAAUUCCAAGUGUAGAGGUGAAAUUCGUAGAUAUUCGGAAGAACACCAGUGGCGAAGGCGACUCGCUGGACAAGUAUUGACGCUGAGGUGCGAAAGCGUGGGGAGC